rnacentral:rRNA from 1 species
CGGCUCACCAAGACCGCGAUCGGUAGCCGGACUGAGAGGUUGAACGGCCACAUUGGGACUGAGACACGGCCCAGACUCCUACGGGAGGCAGCAGUGGGGGAUAUUGCGCAAUGGGGGCAACCCUGACGCAGCAACGCCGCGUGAAGGAUGAAGGUUUUCGGAUUGUAAACUUCUUUUAUUAAGGACGAAAAUUGACGGUACUUAAUGAAUAAGCUCCGGCUAACUACGUGCCAGCAGCCGCGGUAAUACGUAGGGAGCAAGCGUUGUCCGGAUUUACUGGGUGUAAAGGGUGCGUAGGCGGCUUUGCAAGUCAGAUGUGAAAUCUAUGGGCUCAACCCAUAAACUGCAUUUGAAACUGUAGAGCUUGAGUGAAGUAGAGGCAGGCGGAAUUCCCCGUGUAGCGGUGAAAUGCGUAGAGAUGGGGAGGAACACCAGUGGCGAAGGCGGCCUGCUGGGCUUUAACUGACGCUGAGGCACGAAAGCGUGGGUAGCAAACAGGAUUAGAUACCCUGGUAGUCCACGCUGUAAGCGAUGAUAACGAGGUGUGGGGGGUCUGACCCCUUCCGUGCCGG